rnacentral:rRNA from 1 species
UACGUAGGGUGCAAGCGUUGUCCGGAAUUAUUGGGCGUAAAGGGUGUGUAGGCGGUUCUCUAAGUUUGGUGUGAAAUCUCCCGGCUCAACUGGGAGGGUGCGCCGAAAACUGGAGAGCUAGAGUACUGGAUGGGAGAGUGGAAUUCCUGGUGUAGCGGUGAAAUGCGUAGAUAUCAGGAGGAACACCGGUGGUGUAGACGGCUCUCUGGACAGUAACUGACGCUGAGACACGAAAGCGUGGGUAGCAAACAGG